CCCGAAAUUAUCGUAAGAUGUAGUACUAAGCGUGCUGAUUAGAACUGCAGUUUAGUAAAACAAACAGUAUUGAUAAACACUUUAUUUUAUUACAAAUAGGUAGCGCUACGAUCAACAAACCUGUAUUUUAAAUCCGAAAGCGAGUUAAUAUUUGAAAUAUUUUUUACUAAGCGUGUUAAUUACGACCGUGCAGUUCAAUAACAAAAAGUUAUCAACAAAUAUUUAACUUUUUUGCCAACAGGUAACGCUACAAUCGUGAAAAUUGCAUUCUUGACGAGACAUUUAUUAGAGGAAUUGUCCGACCAUAGAGGUGCUCACUAUGUUAUGUAAGAAACUCUAUGCAUACUCUAUGCGUCCGACGUUUUGGCGCAGAGUACAAGCGGGCAAAGCGGGUGCGAGAGCGUGAAUCUGGGGGCUUUUACAAUAUAGAAAUGCUUUUACUCCGUGAAUAUCUGACUUUUCUAGGAUGUUGCUGGCGUAGUGGAAUGGCGUGGACGAUUGUUGUCAUCUGGUCCGUGGUCCCCGGCAGAGGCGAGAUGCUGAGGGCUUUUCAAGCUGUCCUCCUGUGCCUUUUCUGCCACCCUGCUUUAUGUAAUGAAUGGGAAACACCAGGAGAAAAGAAAGAGAGGUCGGACACCAUGAUGCAAACCUGUGCCCACUCCAGAAGGCUGGGCAAUAUUGCCGCCAUGUCCCCCUAUGUGAUCGCCUAGGCCUCUUUUGUGCUACCUGCACUCCUGCUUGGCACAUUGUAGACUACUGAUUAGUUUGGUCUAAAAAUGCCAAAUAUAAUAAACUUCGAAUCGAAUAUUGAAUCGAAUAAAAGAAAAAAUGGAAAGAUCAAAUUUAAUAUUGAAUAUCAGAAAAUUUAACACAGUUUUGUGCUUAUGAUCUUUAUUCAAAAAAACAUGGCUCUGCACAGGCUCAGAAAUCUACUCACAUUACCCAAGCCGAAUGUUACUAGGUUAUCAUACCAUAAGAAGCGAACAAUGACACCAAGGACAACAUAGGGGAAAUUAACUGUACUUACUGACUGAGUUAAAGAAAUGCUUAAUUAAUGGAAAUGAAAAUGCAUGAAGAAACAACUUGCCGCAGAUGGAGAACGAUCCCAUGUCUUCGCAUUACGUAUGCGAUGUUCUACCUGUUGGGCUACCGCGGCAUCAUUCCCCCAUCCACUUUCUGGGGCAUUUAUGCCUUACCGCUAAUACUAACCCUGUGAGUGUUAGCCAGCGCCACCACUCGCAAACCUUGGCGGUGGAUGUGGAACGUCUUUUU